GUGCUUGCUUUGGCAGCACGUUUACUAAAACUGGAAUGAUACAGAGAUUAGGCCCCUGCACAAGGAGGACGUGCAAAUCCAUGAAGUGUUCCAUAGUUAA
ensembl:snRNA U6 U6 spliceosomal RNA